CAGCCGCCGCGGUAAAACGUAGGUCCCGAGCGUUGUCCGGAUUUAUUGGGCGUAAAGCGAGCGCAGGCGGUUAGAUAAGUCUGAAGUUAAAGGCUGUGGCUUAACCAUAGUACGCUUUGGAAGCUGUUUAACUUGAGUGCAAGAGGGGAGAGUGGAAUUCCAUGUGUAGCGGUGAAAUGCGUAGAUAUAUGGAGGAACACCGGUGGCGAAAGCGGCUCUCUGGCUUGUAACUGACGCUGAGGCUCGAAAGCGUGGGUAGCGAACAGGAUUAGAUACCCGAGUAGUCCCUGUCUCUUAUACA
rnacentral:rRNA from 1 species